UAGGGAAUCUUCCGCAAUGGACGAAAGUCUGACGGAGCAACGCCGCGUGAGUGAAGAAGGAUUUCGGUUCGUAAAACUCUGUUGUUAGGGAAGAAAAAAUGUAUAGUAACUAUAUACAAAAGAGACGGUACCUAACCAGAAAGCCACGGCUAACUACGUGCCAGCAGCCGCGGUAAUACGUAGGUGGCAAGCGUUGUCCGGAAUUAUUGGGCGUAAAGCGCGCGCAGGUGGUUUAGAAAGUCUGAUGUGAAAGCCCACGGCUCAACCGUGGAGGGUCAUUGGAAACUAAUAAACUUGAGUGCAGGAGAGAAAAGUGGAAUUCCUAGUGUAGCGGUGAAAUGCGUAGAGAUUAGGAGGAACACCGGUGGCGAAAGCGGCUUUGUGGCCUGCAACUGACACUGAGGCGCGAAAGCGUGGGGAGCAAACAGG
rnacentral:rRNA from 1 species